UACAGAGGUCUCAAGCGUUGUUCGGAUUCAUUGGGCGUAAAGGGUGCGUAGGCGGCGCGGUAAGUCGGGUGUGAAAUCUCGGGGCUUAACUCCGAAACUGCAUUCGAUACUGCCGUGCUUGAGGACUGGAGAGGAGACUGGAAUUUACGGUGUAGCGGUGAAAUGCGUAGAUAUCGUAAGGAAGACCAGUGGCGAAGGCGGGUCUCUGGGCAGUUCCUGACGCUGAGGCGCGAAAGCUAGGGUAGCAAACGGG
rnacentral:rRNA from 1 species